UACGGAGGGUGCGAGCGUUGUCCGGAAUCAUUGGGCGUAAAGGGCGCGUAGGUGGCUUCUUAAGCGUGCGGUGAAAGCCUGGGGCUCAACCCCGGGUCGGCCGUGCGAACUGGGGGGCUGGAGCACUGUAGAGGCAGGCGGAAUUCCGGGUGUAGCGGUGGAAUGCGUAGAGAUCCGGAAGAACACCGGUGGCGAAGGCGGCUCUCUGGACCGCAACUGACGCUGAGGCGCGAAAGCUAGGGGAGCAAACAGG
rnacentral:rRNA from 1 species